rnacentral:rRNA from 2 species
UUUUUAAUGGAGGAAGGUGGGGAUGACGUCAAAUCAUCAUGCCCCUUAUGAUUUGGGCUACACACGUGCUACAAUGGAUAAUACAAAGGGCAGCGAAUCCGCGAGGCCAAGCAAAUCCCAUAAAAUUAUUUUCAGUUCGGAUUGUAGUUUGCAACUUGACUACAUGAAGCUGGAAUCGCUAGUAAUUGUAGAUCAGCAUGCUACGGUGAAUACGUUCCCGGGUCUUGUACACACCGCCCGUCACACCACGAGAGUUUGUAACACCCGAAGCCGGUGGAGUAACCUUUUAGGAGCUAGCCGUCGAAGGUGGGACAAAUGAUUGGGGGAAGUCGAGCAAGC